rnacentral:lncRNA from 7 species
AUCCAGGCUGUUUGAGACUCACGGCCAUGCUGAGAGUCACACUGAUUUCAGCGCGUGCAGUCAUUUUGCAUCAACCCAAUUGGCUUUAUCUUUACAAAUAAUUUAUCCCAACCCCGUAACCAAUGCCCAAGGCCAGCAGAGCCCAUUUGCGCUCCUUCCCGGCCUGUCUGAGGCUUGCAUUUACUUCAGGUGGGCUGAGAUGUGCUCUGCUCUUGAGGUGGGUUGGAGUACACAAUAUUAGUGUAAAUGUAAUGUUAUUUAUUGGAUAUGGAGGCUUUGUGACCUUUGUCUUGUGAAUUGGACAUAUGUGUUAUAUGUAAACCAUGCCUUAAAAUGUAUGGAGUGUGCGGGUGCUGCGCCUGUAAACAGUGUCUUGGAAUUGUAUGGAGUACGUGGGUGCUGCGCCUGUAAAUCGUGUCUUGCAAUUGUAUGGAGUGCGCGGGUGCUGCGCCUGUAAAUGGUGUCUUGCAAUUGUAUGGAGUGCGCGGGUGCUGCGCCUGUAAACGGUGUCUUGCAAUUGUAUGGAGUACGCGGGUGCUGCGCCUGUAAACGGUGUCUUGCAAUUGUAUGGAAUCAGUGUAUUCAUGUUUUGUUUGUCAACAUGUAGGCAUUGCUGUAGUGUGCAUACAAUUGUAUGAGUCAUGUCUUGAGGAAACAGUGCUGUAAUGAACAAAUACUUGUGCAAU